AUCAACCCACGGAGGGUCUGGAUUUGGAGUCACACUCAAAAUUAAAGUGGAAAACCACACUGUGAUUGACUUGGAGUUACAUUGUGUUGUUUAAGUGUUCCCUUUAUUUUUUGGAGCAGUGUAUUUGGUUGUGUUCAUUUCAGACCCACCUUGUAUCUGUCGGACAGAAGAUGCUUUCUACAGCAAUAUUGCAUUUUUUAUUGGUACGACAAGUAGAUGAAAUAAGAUAUGUAUGUAUAUGUAAAAAGCAAUAAUAUACUAUAUUUCAUUGUUAGAAAAUAAUGUAUGGGUUGAGAGUUGAAAGGGUUCAGAGGUGAAAGGGUUCAGAGGUGAAAGGGAAAUACAUUAUCCAUACAAUAGGACUAGGGAUAAUGACAUCACCUACAUUAUCACAGAGACUUCCUUGACUAAUAUAACGUACCCAAUAUGCUACUGUUUCGACUCCUCAACCCGAUACCAAAAACGAACAAAUGUCAAAUUAAAACACCACUUGUUGCUCUAACCCCAUAAAGAAACAUUUUAUGUACAGGUCAGCAGUUAUGCCACAUUUAGAAAUGGUGGUGUUGUUUUGAUUUAUUUAAGUAAAAGUGCGGUACUCUGUUCUAGCCUGUGAACCACCUGGUUGUAUGUGUCCUUAAACAACCUCUUCAUCACAGGGUGUACAGUAUGUAUAACAAUUAAAGAAUUGAUACUGUAAACAGUUAAUAAUGGCCUCAUUGAGAUUUGAUAGUGUACACUGGUAAUAAUGGCCUCAUUGAGAUUUGAUAGUGUACACUGGUAAUAAUGGCCUCAUUGAGAUUUGAGUGUACACUGGUAAUAAUGGCCUCAUUGAGAUUUGAGUGUACACUGGUAAUAAUGGCCUCAUUGAGAUUUGAUAGUGUACACUGGUAAUAAUGGCCUCAUUGAGAUUUGAGUGUACACUGGUAAUAAUGGCCUCAUUGAGAUUUGAGUGUACACUGGUAAUAAUGGCCUCAUUGAGAUUUGAGUGUACACUGGUAAUAAUGGCCUCAUUGAGAUUUGAUAGUGUACACUGGUAAUAAUGGCCUCAUUUUGUUUCAGAGUUUUGUCGUCAGAAGCGUAAACAGCACCAAGUUCAAACAGAGGUGUGGCCAGUGUUUCUGUGCCUGCAGGAUUUUGUUGCAGCCUGAUUUUACUAAUCAACUGAUUGGCUAGAACCAAAGCCUGCACCCACACACUAGCCCUGGCAUAUGUUCCCCCAACCCUGUACAAGCAAUAUAUCAUUAUAUUUUUAUGAGCACAAGUUUAAUUUUAACCUUUUAUUUAACUAGGCAAGUUAAUUAACAACAAAUUAUUAUUUACAAUGACGGCCUAGAGGGUAGCUAGUGACAGUUGGCCCAGUUCAAGCCCUCUACAGCCUAGAGGGUAGCUAGGGACAGUUCAAGCCCCCUACAGCCUAGAGGGUAGCUUGGGACAGUUGGCCUAGUUCAAGCCCCCUACAGCCUAGAGGGUAGCUAGGGACAGUUCAAGCCCUCUACAGCCUAGAGGGUAGCUUGGGACAGUUCAAGCCCCCUACAGCCUAGAGGGUAGCUAGGGACAGUUGGCCUAGUUCAAGCCCCCUACAGCCUAGAGGGUAGCUAGGGACAGUUCAAGCCCUCUACAGCCUAGAGGGUAGCUUGGGACAGUUCAAGCCCUCUACAGCCUAGAGGGUAGCUUGGGACAGUUCAAGCCCCUACAGCCUAGAGGGUAGCUAGGGACAGUUGGCCUAGUUCAAGCCCCCUACAGCCUAGAGGGUAGCUAGGGACAGUUCAAGCCCUCUACAGCCUAGAGGGUAGCUUGGGACAGUUCAAGCCCUCUACAGCCUAGAGGGUAGCUUGGGACAGUUCAAGCCCCUACAGCCUAGAGGGUAGCUAGUGACAGUUGGCCCAGUUCAAGCCCUCUACAGCCUAGAGGGUAGCUAGGGACAGUUGGCCCAGUUCAAGCCCUCUACAGCCUAGAGGGUAGCUAGUGACAGUUGGCCCAGUUCAAGCCCCCUACAGCCUAGAGAGUAGCUAGGGACAGUUCAAGCCCUCUACAGCCUAGAGGGUAGCUUGGGACAGUUCAAGCCCUCUACAGCCUAGAGGGUAGCUUGGGACAGUUCAAGCCCUCUACAGCCUAGAGGGUAGCUUGGGACAGUUCAAGCCCUCUACAGCCCAGAGGGUAGCUAGGGACAGUUGGCCUAGUUCAAGCCCUCUACAGCCCAGAGGGUAGCUAGGGACAGUUGGCCUAGUUCAAGCCCUCUAGAGCCUAGAGGGUAGCUAGGGACAGUUCAAGCCCUCUACAGCCUAGAGGGUAGCUAGGGACAGUUGGCCCAGUUCAAGCCCUCUACAGCCUAGAGGGUAGCUAGUGACAGUUGGCCCAGUUCAAGCCCCCUACAGCCUAGAGAGUAGCUAGGGACAGUUCAAGCCCUCUACAGCCUAGAGGGUAGCUUGGGACAGUUCAAGCCCUCUACAGCCUAGAGAGUAGCUAGGGACAGUUCAAGCCCUCUACAGCCCAGAGGGUAGCUAGGGACAGUUGGCCUAGUUCAAGCCCUCUACAGCCCAGAGGGUAGCUAGGGACAGUUGGCCUAGUUCAAGCCCUCUAGAGCCUAGAGGGUAGCUAGGGACAGUUCAAGCCCUCUACAGCCUAGAGGGUAGCUAGGGACAGUUUAAGCCCUCUACAGCCUAGAGGGUAGCUAGGGACAGUUGGCCCAGUUCAAGCCCCCUACAGCCUAGAGGGUAGCUAGGAACAGUUCAAGCCCCCUACAGCCUAGAGGGUAGCUAGGGACAGUUCAAGCCCCCUACAGCCUAGAGGGUAGCUAGGGACAGUUCAAGCCCUCUACAGCUGGAGAGGUUUCUACCUUUACACCAUGUUAUCACCACGACAACCCAGAACACUUACCUUACUAUUUAUUUACUAUAUAAAGUUAUCUUGUCUGUGUCACGCCCUGAUCUGUUUCACCUGUCCUUGUGCUUGUCUCGAACCCUCCUCCAGGUGUCGCCCAUUCUCCCCUGGGUACCUCUCCCCAUUCUCCCCUGGGUACCUCUCCCCAUUCUCCCCUGGGUACUUCUCCCCAUUCUCCCCUGGGUACUUGUUCUCUGUCGGUUGCCAGUUUGUCAAGUCAACCAGCGUUUUGUAUCAGCUACUGCUUUUCCCCAGUCUCUAUUUCUCGCUCUCCUGGUUUUGACCUUUGCCUGUCCUGACCCUGCCUGCAGUCCUGUACCUUGGCCUCUACUCUUGAUUAUCGACCCCUGACUGCAGUCCUGUACCUUGGCCCCUACUCUUGAUUAUCGACCCCUGCCUGCCUUGACCUGUCGUUUUCCUUCCCCUUGCUGCUUUAAUACACAUUGUUACUUCAACAGUCUGCAUUUGGGUCUUACCUGAAACGUGAUAGUCUGAUUGUGAGAGUUAUUGACUGGGCCUCAUAAAAUGAGUGCUGAUCUAGGAUCAGGUCCCCCCUGUCCAUGUAAUCUUUUUCUUAUUCAUGAAGAUCUUGAAAAAUAUAUAUCAUUUAUAUCAUAUUUUUAUCAAAUGUAUUAUUUUUGCCGGAAAGUUCAACGCUUCUGAUGUUUUGAAUAGAAAUGGUCAUUCAGCCUUUGACCAACAGCCAUUAUUGAUAAAUCCAUAUCUUUUUGCGUAUUGUUUUAAACUGAAACAUGUAUUAGUUUGUGUCUAAUUUGAAUAAACCCUGUUUGAUUGAUAUG